UCUGCUGCUUCCUGCUUGUACUCUGACAAGAGUUCUUCCUUGUUUUUACAAGUAGAGUUCAGCCUUGCAUCCGGUCCCAUCCUGUUGAUUCCCAUGUGGCUACAUGAGUGCCUGAAGUUACAUUUUAGAUGCUGAAAUCACUGCACCUUAAAAACAACACACACACAAAAAGAUUGAGCUGCACUGCAUUCCUGAGAUGAAUGGGCUGCUGAAGAAAAAUCUGAAAACAAGGUAUCAGUUGCUCUUUGAGGACAAUCAUUUAACGGUGAGCAACAACCAUAACUUUGGAAGCCAGGUUCAUGGCAGAAGC